rnacentral:rRNA from 1 species
UAUGUAGGGUGCGAGCGUUAAUCGGAAUUACUGGGCGUAAAGCGUGCGCAGGCGGUUUUGUAAGACAGAGGUGAAAUCCCCGGGCUCAACCUGGGAACUGCCUUUGUGACUGCAAGGCUUGAGUGCGGCAGAGGGGGAUGGAAUUCCGCGUGUAGCAGUGAAAUGCGUAGAUAUGCGGAGGAACACCGAUGGCGAAGGCAAUCCCCUGGGCCUGCACUGACGCUCAUGCACGAAAGCGUGGGGAGCAAACAGG